UACAGAGGUCUCAAGCGUUGUUCGGAAUCACUGGGCGUAAAGGGUGCGUAGGUGGCGUGGUAAGUCAGAUGUGAAAGCCCGGGGCUCAACCUCGGAAUUGCAUCCGAUACUGCCGUGCUAGAGUACUGAAGAGGUGACUAGAAUUCUCGGUGUAGCAGUGAAAUGCGUAGAUAUCGAGAGGAAUACCAACGGCGAAGGCAGGUCACUGGGCAGUUACUGACACUGAGGCACGAAGGCCAGGGAGCAAACAGG
rnacentral:rRNA from 1 species